GUUCAAACUGAUCAAUGCUAUUGGGCAUGAACUGAAAGAGGCUAAACUCUCACCUACCAGGCUGCCACUGAAUAACAACCAAGUUUGGAUCACUCUGAUUCCCGGGCAUUUAAAAAAGCUGGAGUUAUAAACCCAGGAAACGAAGGGGCGAAGACAGUAAAAGGCAAAGCGAGAAGGCAAGAAGCAAGGUAUGAUUCGGAAGUUUAUAAGUAAGCAUAAAGUAAGGUUUCAAUAGGAG
rnacentral:misc_RNA from 1 species